GAAAACUUGGUUCUAGUUUCUUUCCUAUCUUUUCUCCGUCUGCCACAUGCAAGGAAAAACCACCCCAGCGGACAGUUCCCCCACACCCUUAGUGGAGAAACCCAGCAUAAGUACACUACUACAAAAGCUAGAAAAUCCCGCGGUCAGCAGUGCUUAACAUUACACAAUUUAAGAAAUUAAGAUGUAGACAGGUAAAAAAGAAGAGGCCCAUACCGUGCCAGCAGCCGCGGUUAUACGUUAUCUUCAAGUUAGGAAAGACCGGUGCAAAGAGGAGAAGGCCCCACCAAAUUCAUUCGCGAGGAAAUUAAUAGCAGUAAUAAGCUAAAGUUCAAUCAAAGCGAUGAGAAAGCCCACCCAACAAGAAGGGAUAUAAACUAGGAUUAGAUACCCUACUAUACCCUCCCCACACUUAGAAAUCACCAGAGCAGUACGGUCCAACUAAAACUUAAAGAACUUGGCGGUUUUCUAGACCUCCUUGGAGGAGCUUGUCAUCUAAUUGAUAACCCCCAAGAUACCUCACCUGUUCAGGAAUAACAGCUUGUAUACCAUCGUCGUCAGCUCACCUCAAAAGAGCGUGAGCCAAAGGAACCAACCUCACAACGUCAGAUCAAGGUGCAGCCAAUGAACAGGGGAUCGAUGAGCUACUUUAUUUAAAAAAUAGAGGAAGUAAAAAUGAAAAAUCUACCGAAAAAGGAUUCAACAGUAACAAAAUAUAUAGAAAUUUUGUGAAGUAAGCUCUAGAAUGCGCACACAUCGCCCGUCACUCUCCUCGUUAGAGGAGAAAAGUCGUAACAUAGUAGGUGUACCGGAAGGUGCCACCUGGAACAAA
rnacentral:ncRNA from 1 species